UUCCGAGGAGGCGGUGCUGGGGCGGGCGCAGGACUGCAGGCUGGGGCUCCGCUCCCCGGCGGGAGCCCGCGCGUGGUUCCCAGCGAAGUCCCCGCGCGGCUGGGCCCAGCGUGAGUAUUCUCCGCCCGCUGUCCUCCCCCUGGAGGCGGCAGCGCCCGUUUAUUUGAGGCUUCUAAUGUGAGGAAAAACACGGAAUGACAAGUGUGGGAAAGAGCAAGCACUAAAUUACUGUCAGAAAAAUAAACGGAGUAGCACAGUGCUGCUCGGUGAUUUACGGGGGCAAUUAGUCACCACCCCACGGCGCUGCUGAGGACAGCACGGCAGCAGACAAGUCAGGCCCAUGAGGAAGAAGAGGCUUUGCACUGCUCUCCAGACAACUUUUCAAACAACAAGAGAGGAUAUUUGAGCACAUUAGGUUUUGUGUCUUCAUUCUGGGUACCUACUCUUCAUAUUAUUCUACCAACUUAAUACAUAAACAUAUUUUUAGCACAAUAUGAACCUGUUCUAUGUGUGUUUAAAAGCCUCCAGCAGCAACUUUUUUCUCUCCCACUGUCCAAAGUUGGGUUUUCCCCAUCCCUUAAAAAACAAAACAAAAAAACCUUUCUUCACUCCAAAUUGUCCCCCUGGUGUGUGGUUUUGGUCUUUCUCAUUACUUCUUGCAUCUUGCUACAUGUUCUGCAUUUGCUCAGAGCCACUGGGUGCUAAGGAAUUUGGUCUGCUGCUCCUCUGGGAAAGUUUGGUAAGCUGGUACAAGGAGGUGAUGAACAAGGCUAAAUGAAAAUCAUACAUAAACUUCCCAAUAUUUGUGAACAUGUUCUUUAACAUACCAUACAUAGUUUCUAUGUAUAUGUAACAUAGCAAAACAAACUUGCUAAGGUAUAAUUAAUUGGUAUGCAUGCCUUCAUAAAUAUUCACCAUCAGAAGAAACCUAGAAUGAAAGGUUGUGAAAGAACCCAGGAAUGAGAAAGACUUUAUUGACUAAAGGCCAUGUCUAUGUAGGGGCAACAAUGAAGCUGUGGGUGAGCAAAUGAAGCUUCAUCAGGAGUUUAGUAUCCUUAUGUAGCAUUACCUAAGAAUGCUACCAUAGUAAAUUUCUGAAGUACUUUACCUGUUACAAAGAACGUUUGUAAUCUCCUUUUCUUAUUUGAUCUUGCCCUGGCUUUAGUCAGGAACACCUGCUCAGUUAGAAAUGUAUUCGGUGGGUAUGUACGCAGUUGGAGAAUGUGCCCCAACACACGCCGCCUUUGGCCUGUAUGUUGGAGUCCUAGAGAGGCAGACAAUGUUGAUGAGCUUGGUACCAGCAUGGUGCGCCAUUCAUCCGGACACAAUUUCUGAUAAAGAGGGUCACAACUGGGAGAAACCUCAGAUUCUACUUGCUUCUCUUCUCCACGUUAUUAGACUUUUUUUCCCCUCUUGAAUUUUAUAAGCACACUCCUUUUAAAACAAUUAAUUAAUAACGAGCACUGGGAUUUGAUGUAGAAUUGCGUAUUUGUAACUGCAAUGGCACUGGUUUUCAACUACCCUGUAACAAGGAAGCAAUUCUAACCAGCAAAAGAGGCAGACGUGUUUCUGUGCAACAUCACAGGCGUGUGAAAUUGUUCAGAUAUUGAGAUAUCAGGAGUGAUAUAAAUUGGAAAUUUAACCAAAAAUAUUUUCCAUCAGUGAACAAAGCCGAUUUUAAAGUGCCUCUUGCAUUUUUCAGAUCUUUCUCUUUCUUUUUCCCAAAGUCACAUUGUAGUUUCUGAUAAAGGAACACACUGGGAAAACUAAGCACAUAUUUAAUCAAUGAAAUUUAAGGUGUAAAAAUUCUGCAUUUCUGACAAAUUUAAUGUUCACUUUUUUCUUGAUUUAAAUAGAGCAUUCUAAAAAUAUUACCCCUAUAGGGGAUAAAUUUUUAUAUGCAUGUUAUUUUUCUUUACAAAGUGUGGGCUAGUAAAGAGUGAAAAAGACCUUGGCUAUUGUACUUAUUUCUUGAAAGAAAUAAUAGCAUCUUAAUGACUGGAUUCAAAUCUCUGCUUAUCACACAACUUCCGUACAGUUCAAAGAGAGGACUUGGAUUGAAUGAAAACAGAGAGCUGGGGCUUCCUACAUUCCCCUGUGUUUGUGUUCAUACAGAAUAUUUAUGCAAUAUUCUGACUUGGCCAUAAUCUGUAAUUCCUGCCUAUUAUUCUCAGUUGCAACUAUAAAUUCUAGAUUAAUGGUUAUAAUUUUGGUAAGGCAUACAUGAAAAGUUAUAUGUUCCUGCUUGAAAGGAGGAUCAUUAAAUAUUCAUUAUUACCACUCAAAUUAGUUGUCAUGCUCUGUGUAAUAGUUACCCGUUAUCAUUUCACUAGUUUGGAUUCAGCAGUAAGUGAACAGCAAUAUAUAGCUCAUAGCGCCAGAGGACUUUUUUUGUCGGGGAACAGGGAGAGAAAUGAUUUUAAAACCCAUUUGACAUAUUUAUGUUGACAAAUUAUUUAAAGGAAUUACUGUGUUGUAAUAAACAUGUUUGUAUGUUGGAAUAGGAUUGUGGCUAAAUUUGCUUCUAGCUGUUUAAUUACUCUUAUUAUGAUUGUGAAAAACAGUGCUUCUUCAAGUAGUUCCAAGGAAAAAAAUAGAAAAUGGAAAAGUUGAGCUAUUUCAGUCUUUUGCAGGUAUCUAACCUUGCCAUGAAAAAGCACUUUUCAUUUUUGUAAGUAGAUAUUGAAAUCUUGCUUUUUCAGCGAAGCUAGAUUGUAUAAUUUAUUAGUUUUCUCCACCUGGUAACACAUCCUUAAGAAAAAAAUUGCCAAAAGUAAAGCAUGAGAUGGAUUUUAAAAUAAAUGUUGUGGAUGAACAC
rnacentral:lncRNA from 1 species